GAUGAACGCUGACAGAAUGCUUAACGCAUGCAAGUCGAUGGGGAAGUGGUGCUUGCACCAUGGUAACCAUGGCGGACGGGUGAGUAACGCGUAAGGAACUUGCCUGCGGGACCGGGAUAACAGCAGGAAACUGCUGACAAGACCGGAUAAGGUCAUUAAGCCGCAUAGCUUGGUGAUGAAAGGAGACGCCUGCGGAGAGCCUUGCGUCCUAUUAGCUAGUUGGAGGGGUAACGGCCCACCAAGGCGAAGAUAGGUAGCCGGCCUGAGAGGGUGGACGGCCACAAGGGGACUGAGAUACGGCCCUUACUCCUACGGGAGGCAGCAGUGGGGAAUAUUGGACAAUGGGGGCAACCCUGAUCCAGCAAUUCUGUGUGCACGAAGACGGUUUUCGGAUUGUAAAGUGCUUUCAGCAGGGAAGAAGGAAGUGACGGUACCUGCAGAAGAAGCGACGGCUAAAUACGUGCCAGCAGCCGCGGUAAUACGUAUGUCGCGAGCGUUAUCCGGAAUUAUUGGGCAUAAAGGGCAUCUAGGCGGCCUUUCAAGUCAGGGGUGAAAACCUGCGGCUCAACCGCAGGCCUGCCUUUGAAACUGAUAGGCUGGAGUACCGGAGAGGUGGACGGAACUGCACGAGUAGAGGUGAAAUUCGUAGAUAUGUGCAGGAAUGCCGAUGAUGAAGAUAGUUCACUGGACGGUAACUGACGCUGAAGUGCGAAAGCCGGGGGAGCGAACAGG
rnacentral:rRNA from 1 species